rnacentral:rRNA from 1 species
UACAACCUAUAUAAGGUCAAGGAGUCGGCAUCAGGCACAAAAACUCGCCCAUAACACCUAGUCUCACCACACCCUCAAGGGUACUCAGCAGUGAUAAACAUUGCCCAUAAGCGUCAGCUUGAAUCAGUUAAAGAAAAAAGAGCCGGCCAACCCGGUGCCAGCCGCCGCGGCUACACCAUGGGCCUCAAAUUGAUAUCUUCGGGGCUUAA